rnacentral:rRNA from 1 species
GACGAACGCUGGCGGCGUGCUUAACACAUGCAAGUCGAACGGAAAGGCCCUGCUUUUGUGGGGUGCUCGAGUGGCGAACGAGUGAGUAACACGUGAGUAACCUGCCCUUGACUUUGGGAUAACUUCAGGAAACUGGGGCUAAUACCGGAUAGGAGCUCCUGCUGCAUGGUGGGGGUUGGAAAGUUUCGGCGGUUGGGGAUGGACUCGCGGCUUAUCAGCUUGUUGGUGGGGUAGUGGCUUACCAAGGCUUUGACGGGUAGCCGGCCUGGUAGGGUGACCGGCCACAUUGGGACUGAGAUACGGCCCAGACUCCUACGGGAGGCAGCAGUGGGGAAUAUUGCACAAUGGGCGGAAGCCUUAUGCAGCAACGCCGCGUGCGGGAUGACGGCCUUCGGGUUGUAAACCGCUUUCGCCUGUGACGAAGCGUGAGUGACGGUAAUGGGUAAAGAAGCACCGGCUAACUACGUG